rnacentral:rRNA from 1 species
AUUGAACGCUGGCGGCAGGCCUAACACAUGCAAGUCGAACGAGUGGCGGACGGGUGAGUAACGUCUGGGAAACUGCCUGAUGGAGGGGGACAACUACUGGAAACGGUAGCUAAUACCGCAUACCAUCGGAUGUGCCCAGAUGGGAUUAGCUAGUGGGUGGGGUAAAGGUUCACCUAGGCGACGAUCCCUAGCUGGUCUGAGAGGCUGACCAGCCACACUGGAACUGUGAGAGGUUCCAGAUUCCUACGGGAGGGAGCAGUGGGGAAUAUUGGGUAAUGUGCGCAAGCCUGAUGCAGCCAUGCCGCGUGUAUUAAGAAGGCCUUCGGGUUGUGAAGUACUUUCAGCGGGGAGGCGUUACCCGCAGAAGAAGCACCGGCUAACUCCGUGCCAGCAGCCGCGGUAAUUC